CUACCACUCAGGCAACAGCAGGGUGUUCCAAAUGAGCACUGUGUGUAAAUCAGGCUUUUCCAAGAUUCCAGUUGUCACCAAAAUCAAUUAGGUUUCUUCCCAUUGAUGCCUAGAACAUUUCCUGAAAUCUUGGAAUUGAUUGGAUGCAUUCUUCAAAAGUUAUGUUACAGACAGACAAAUGCCAAUUAUCAAAUCAUACUUAAAUUAGCUGUUAGAAGCUUAUUGACCCACUUACCAGAACAAAGUGUUUUAUUGUUUUAUAUGCAUGAGGAAACCCUACUGUUCACUAAGGAGAUAGCUACAAUAAUGCUUACAGUUCUGGGCAGUAUUCAAGGGAAAACAGAACUACUGAUUCUCAACAGCCCUAAACCUAUGACUGGUUGCGAUCAACCCUAACAAUGAGCAGUCAGAAUUCUAAAUGAAGUCGUCUUUUCACUUCCAGGAUUUCCUUGUUCCAAAUAUUUCUAAAUGGACACGAGCACUUUGUUGCUCUGAAACAAAAGGUUAUUAAAACACAGUGAUGCAGAUGAUCAAAGAGGGAAAAAUCUCUUCUCAUCACAUUACCAACCUACCAAUUUGAGCUGUACUGGGAUUCCCCACAAAACUCCUACUGAUGCAUGGGAAUGAAUUCAAAUGGAUCUCACUUCUGUCUGAGACUUUGAACCGAGGUAAAUGAGUGUACAAAGUACUGAAUAUCAGGCCCCGUAAUUCACAUGGGGGUCAGCAAGGGAGUAGUGGAAAAUAAACUCGGAAGCAGUUGCUGAUUGGCUGGAGUUUUGUAGCCUCAGCCUCUACUUCCUGAUUUGAGACCAGGCCUGCUGAUGUUCCUCCAAAGACAUCGUAACUAGAGAUGGACCAAGGAGGAGGUGCUCAGAU